rnacentral:rRNA from 1 species
AGCGCCAGGGAAUUACGAGCAAUGCUUAAAACCCAAAGGAUUUGACGGUAUCCCAUCCACCUAGAGGAGCCUGUUCUAUAAUCGAUAACCCCCGCUAUACCCAACCACUCCUAGCUUAUCAGCCUGUAUACCUCCGUCGAAAGCCUACCAUGUGAAUGUUCUUAGUAAGCUUAAUGUCCCCGUCAAAACGUCAGGUCAAGGUGCAGCUCAUGGAAUGGGAAGCAAUGGGCUACAAUUUCUAACUUAGAACAUACGAAAAACCAGGUGAAACCCUGGUCAUGAAGGCGGAUUUAGCAGUAAAAAGAAAAUAGAGUGUUCUUUUUAACCCGGCCCUGGGAUGUGUACACACCGCCCGUCACCCUCUUCAACUGUAAUUAACACUGUUUUAUAACUCCCCCCCCCCACAUUCUAGAAGAGGCAAGUCGUAACAUGGUAAGUGUACUGGAAAGUGCACUUGGCUAACAA